rnacentral:rRNA from 1 species
AUUGAACGCUGGCGGAAUGCUUUACACAUGCAAGUCGAACGGCAGCACGGGAGCUUGCUCCUGGUGGCGAGUGGCGAACGGGUGAGUAAUAUAUAGGAACAUGCCCAGUAAUGGGGGAUAACGCCGAGAAAUCGGUGCUAAUACCGCAUACGCCCUGAGGGGGAAAGCGGGGGAUCUUCGGACCUCGCGUUACUGGAUUGGCCUAUAUCUGAUUAGCUAGUUGGUGAGGUAAAGGCUCACCAAGGCGACGAUCAGUAGCUGGUCUGAGAGGAUGAUCAGCCACACUGGAACUGAGACACGGUCCAGACUCCUACGGGAGGCAGCAGUGGGGAAUUUUGGACAAUGGGCGCAAGCCUGAUCCAGCCAUUCCGCGUGAGUGAAGAAGGCCUCGGUUGUAAGCUCUUCGGCAGGAAGAAAUACGUUACUACUAAUACUAGUGAUGGAUGACGGUACCUGAAGAAGAAGCACCGGCUAACUACGUACG